rnacentral:rRNA from 1 species
CAAUAGCGUAUAUUAAAGUUGUUGCAGUUAAAAAGCUCGUAGUUGGAUUUCGGGACGGGCCAGUUGGUCCGCCGCAAGGUGUGUUACUGACUGGUCUGUUCUUCUUCGCAAAGACUGCGUGUGCUCUUCGUUGAGUGUGCGUAGGAUUUACGACGUUUACUUUGAAAAAAUUAGAGUGUUCAAAGCAGGCUAUCGCUUGAAUACAUGAGCAUGGAAUAAUGGAAUAGGACUUUGGUCCUAUUUUGUUGGUUUCUAGGACCGAAGUAAUGAUUAAGAGGGACAAUUGGGGGCAUCCGUAUUUCGUUGUCAGAGGUGAAAUUCUUGGAUUUACAAAAGACGAACAACUGCGAAAGCACUUGCCAAGAGUGUUUUCAUUAA